UGUGGACUUGGGUAAUUCGAUACUCUUUUAUUUGGAGUGUCAGACUUAUGUGAAAUAUUCACAAACUAACUAGCUUGGAUCUUGAUCUGAUAAAUAUUAUAUUAAAGAUAUUUCUUCUACCUUUCUGAUAGACAUAAGAUGUUCAUGUAUCUUAAGGCAUUCUUUUUGAAAAAAAAAUUUUUGAUGAAGGAACUGAUGCCGUUAAGACCAAGCUUAGUGAAGCUUGAUAGAUAGAGGUACUGAGUCUGAUACAAACUAAUAAAUCUAGAGUUGAUUAGAUCAAUUUCAGAGCCCGAUGUAAAGACAUC
rnacentral:lncRNA from 1 species